rnacentral:rRNA from 1 species
CAAGUUUUUAAGGGCGCACGGUGGAUGCCUUGGCACCAGGAACCGAUGAAGGACGUGGGAGGCCACGAUAGGCCCCGGGGAGCUGUCAACCGAGCUUUGAUCCGGGGGUGUCCGAAUGGGGAAACCCGGCAGUCGUCAUGGGCUGUCACCCAUACCUGAACACAUAGGGUAUGUGGAGGGAACGCGGGGAAGUGAAACAUCUCAGUACCCGCAGGAAGAGAAAACAACCGUGAUUCCGGGAGUAGUGGCGAGCGAAACUGGAUGAGGCCAAACCGUAUUGGUGUGAUACCCGGCAGGGGUUGCCAGUGCGGGGUUGUGGGAUCUCUUUUCUGCAGUCUGCCGGCUGUGGGACGAGUCAGAAACCGUUGAUGUAGGCGAAGGACAUGCGAAAGGUCCGGCGUAGAGGGUAAGACCCCCGUAGCUGAAACGUCAGCGGCUCGUUUAAGAGACACCCAAGUAGCACGGGGCCCGUGAAAUCCCGUGUGAAUCUGGCGGGACCACCCGCUAAGCCUAAAUAUUCCCUGGUGACCGAUAGCGGAUAGUACCGUGAGGGAAUGGUGAAAAGUACCGCGGGAGCGGAGUGAAAUAGUACCUGAAACCGUGUGCCUACAAGCCGUGGGAGCGUCGCGCAAGAACUUGUUCUUGCGUCGUGACUGCGUGCCUUUUGAAGAAUGAGCCUGCGAGUUUGCGGUAUGUUGCGAGGUUAACCCGUGUGGGGAAGCCGUAGCGAAAGCGAGUCCGAAGAGGGCGCCCAAGUAGCGUGCCCAAGACCCGAAGCGGAGUGAUCUAGCCAUGGGCAGGUUGAAGCGGAGGUAAGACUUCGUGGAGGACCGAACCCACCAGGGUUGAAAACCUGGGGGAUGACCUGUGGUUAGGGGUGAAAGGCCAAUCAAACUCCGUGAUAGCUGGUUCUCCCCGAAAUGCAUUUAGGUGCAGCGUCGUGUGUUUCUUGCCGGAGGUAGAGCACUGGAUAGGCGAUGGGCCCUACCGGGUUACUGACCUUAGCCAAACUCCGAAUGCCGGUAAGUGAGAGCGCGGCAGUGAGACUGUGGGGGAUAAGCUCCAUGGUCGAGAGGGAAACAGCCCAGAGCAUCGACUAAGGCCCCUAAGCGUGUGCUAAGUGGGAAAGGAUGUGGAGUCGCAGAGACAACCAGGAGGUUGGCUUAGAAGCAGCCAUCCUUGAAAGAGUGCGUAAUAGCUCACUGGUCAAGUGAUUCCGCGCCGACAAUGUAGCGGGGCUCAAGCACACCGCCGAAGUCGUGUCAUUGCAGUAUGUACUCCUAACGGGGACUGUGAUGGGUAGGGGAGCGUCGUGUGCCGGGUGAAGCAGCACCGGAAGGUAGUUGUGGACGGUUCACGAGUGAGAAUGCAGGCAUGAGUAGCGAUACACACGUGGGAAACGUGUGCGCCGAUUGACUAAGGGUUCCUGGGUCAAGCUGAUCUGCCCAGGGUAAGUCGGGACCUAAGGCGAGGCCGACAGGCGUAGUCGAUGGACAACCGGUUGAUAUUCCGGUACCCGCUUUGAAGCGCCAAACAUCGAAUCAGGCGAUGCUAAGUCCGUGAAGCCGCCCUGAGCUCUUCGGAGCGUAGGGGAGUGGUGGAGCCGACGAACCAGACUUGUAGUAGGUGAGUGAUGGGGUGACGCAGGAAGGUAGUCCAGCCCGGGCGGUGGUUGUCCCGGGGUAAGGGUGUAGGACGCACGGUAGGCAAAUCCGUCGUGCAUGAAGUCUGAGACCUGAUGCCGAGCCGAUUGUGGUGAAGUGGAUGAUCCUAUGCUGUCGAGAAAAGCCUCUAGCGAGUUUCAUGGCGGCCCGUACCCUAAACCGACUCAGGUGGUCAGGUAGAGAAUACCGAGGCGUUCGGGUGAACUAUGGUUAAGGAACUCGGCAAAAUGCCCCCGUAACUUCGGGAGAAGGGGGGCCAUUGCUGGUGAUGAGUCUUGCACUCUGAGCUGGUGGUGGCCGCAGAGACCAGCGAGAAGCGACUGUUUACUAAAAACACAGGUCCGUGCGAAGCCGUAAGGCGAUGUAUACGGACUGACGCCUGCCCGGUGCUGGAACGUUAAGGGGACCGGUUAGCUCUGUUUCGACAGGGCGAAGCUGAGAACUUAAGCGCCAGUAAACGGCGGUGGUAACUAUAACCAUCCUAAGGUAGCGAAAUUCCUUGUCGGGUAAGUUCCGACCUGCACGAAUGGCGUAACGACUUCUCGACUGUCUCAACCAUAGGCCCGGUGAAAUUGCACUACGAGUAAAGAUGCUCGUUUCGCGCAGCAGGACGGAAAGACCCCGGGACCUUUACUAUAGCUUGAUAUUGGUGUUCGGUUCGGCUUGUGUAGGAUAGGUGGGAGACUGUGAACUCGUCACGCCAGUGGCGGGGGAGUCGUUGUUGAAAUACCACUCUGGUCGUGCUGGAUGUCUAACCUGGGUCCGUGAUCCGGAUCAGGGACAGUGUCUGGUGGGUAGUUUAACUGGGGCGGUUGCCUCCUAAAGAGUAACGGAGGCGCCCAAAGGUUCCCUCAGCCUGGUUGGCAAUCAGGUGUUGAGUGUAAGUGCACAAGGGAGCUUGACUGUGAGACUGACGGGUCGAGCAGGUACGAAAGUAGGGACUAGUGAUCCGGCGGUGGCUUGUGGAAGCGCCGUCGCUCAACGGAUAAAAGGUACCCCGGGGAUAACAGGCUGAUCUUCCCCAAGAGUCCAUAUCGACGGGAUGGUUUGGCACCUCGAUGUCGGCUCGUCGCAUCCUGGGGCUGGAGUCGGUCCCAAGGGUUGGGCUGUUCGCCCAUUAAAGCGGUACGCGAGCUGGGUUUAGAACGUCGUGAGACAGUUCGGUCCCUAUCCGCUGUGCGCGUAGGAGUCUUGAGAAGGGCUGUCCCUAGUACGAGAGGACCGGGACGGACGAACCUCUGGUGUGCCAGUUGUCCUGCCAAGGGCAUGGCUGGUUGGCUACGUUCGGAAAGGAUAACCGCUGAAAGCAUCUAAGCGGGAAGCCUGCUUCGAGAUGAGGGCUCCCUCCUCCUUGAGAGGGUAAGGCUCCCAGUAGACGACUGGGUUGAUAGGCCAGAUAUGGAAGCCCGGUAACGGGUGGAGUUGACUGGUACUAAUAGGCCGAGGGCUUGUCC